AGGGGGAGGCCAGAUCCUGGGCUGUGUCCCGGCGCCCUGUGCUGCGGAGCCUGCGCUGGUGGAUUCGCGCUCCCGGGCCGCGCAGCCCCCU
rfam:Canis lupus familiaris chromosome 14, whole genome shotgun sequence.